GUGAGGAGGACAGGGAACGGGCACUUCUCUCAUUCUAUAAACAGCAACAGGAAUGGGCAUGUCCACUUCAUUGUACCCUUGAUGUUUUAUAGGUGAUGCUGCUGUUGGACAGGGAGUGAUGCGGUACUUUCUGACAACAAUAAUAUCCAAACUCCAGUUUGGAUUCAGAAUGAAUCUUGGAGGAGUGGGCCAAACUCUGCUAUUUGAAGGUGAGCCUGACCAUCUCGUUCCAGCUGCAUCAGAGGUGCUUAUUGAGAGCAACCUCUUCCGGGUUGCAGGAAGGAUGAUAGCCCACUCCUUUUUGCAUGAUGGCCCCCAUGUCACCGGAUUAAGUCCUGCUGUUAUUCAUGUACUGUUCAAUGGGGACCCUGAAAUGGCAACAAUUGUUGUCGAGGACUGUCCUGAUCUGCACAUCAGGAGUAUUAUAACAAUGCUUGAACUUGAAGAACUUACUCAGAAACAGAAGGACACAGUGUCAGAUCUUUCCCUGUCUUGGGAUCUCCCAGCAGUCACUAAAACGAAUCAGAGGUGGCUACAUAACAAACUUCUAGUACACGCGGUGAGUUUCUCCUGCUGAUUUGGUGAAUUCUCCUUCUGAAAUUGAACUCAUCCCCCAUUUAUCCAUCAAUUAUGUUUCAAGCUAAGCAAUUCUAUCACGUCUGCAUUUCUUUUGCACAUCUGUAUUUCAAUCACAAACUAAUUGGAACUGCAGGCAGGAUUAUUACAGAACCUAAACACUCUUUAACUUGUAAUCUGGGCAGGGAGUGGUUUGGUGUUGCAAUAUGAAAGGAUAUAAUUGGGGAAAAAUACAUCUUAAGCACUGCAUUAGAGUUUUAUAAACACUUUCUACUGUGCUGACUUUUGUAGAAU